UUCUUCCUAUAAAUAGGGAUGAAAGCAUCUACUAAUAUCAUCGCUUCCUUGACUUCUUUGCUUUAUUUUUUUAAAAUCAUUGUUACGAGGAUGGCUAAUUCUGAACUAUUUAUUUCUGAGCUGAAGUCUGGUUGUUGUAGGCAAACUAUUGUGGCGCCUCAUCUUGCUAAUGGGAGGCUGGAGAGUGGAGAGUGGAGAAAGGUGGGGGAGGUCAUGGUUUUGACUUGCUGCUGCUAGAUGAGAAGUCCACUCUUAUCCAGGGAUCCAUCACCGUUCAUCUUCUAAACUAUUUUGAAAAUCACUGUAGUAUAGGGCUUUUUCAAUGAUUUAUUUUUCUACUCUCAUUUUUGUGUUCAACUUCUACGAAUAUUCAGGAAGAAGAAACUAAAGAUGCCACAGCUAAAUAGCUAGAGCGAUCUGUGAAUGAACGCCUCUCUCAAACUUUAUCAAGGAUCAUUGUUCUAGAGGCCCAGAGCAGACCAGGGCCAGUUAAGCAAGUUGCUCGAGAAGGAGAGGCAGAGAAUGCACAAGAGUAUCAGCAGCUAAGGAGGAAGCAUAUACCCUAGAAGGUCGAGCAAACCAACUUAAAGUGGAAAACAAGAACUGCAGAGAAAACAUAAGCAAGUGUUGCAAAAGUACUGCUCCACAACGAGCUUAUUCAAAAGUUGAGAGCAAUAACAAAAUUCCGAUCACAUUAUUUUUUAUUUACUGUGAUAUUUAAUGCCUGGAGCAACAACAAUAUCUGCAACAUUUACUGUGAUAUCUAUCUUUAACUUUAUCCAAACUAUUUUUGAACUCUCUGUUUUUGCAUAUUUUUCUUACUGAUGAAUAUGAAUUGUGAACUGCAGGUACGUCCUUCACAAGCAAGUACUGUGUUUUCCUGUUGUAUAAGUUGGGUUUUAUUAAAUUUAAAUAUGUAAAAAACUAUUAUGUUUGCAGUUGUGAUUAAACCCUUUUUCCGCAAUUCAGGUUAAAAAUGUAUAGUUAGCUAUAAAAAAAUCAGCCACUCCUCACUGCAAUCAUUGUAACGGGAUCGCGUCUGUUAUGCUACCAAUUGUGGUGCUGAGAAGGUGAAAGGUGUAACCUCGGGGACCCACCGGAUGCAUGGCAGCCUCGGGGAGAUGGAGCUUCCGUUAGGGUUAUCGGGUCGAGUGUUAAUAUUAUUCUCUUUUUUUUGGCAAUGUUAAUGUUGAUGAGUUGAUUUUAUCUAAUAACAAAUUAACGAUUUAUUGUCA